GGGCGUGUGGUCUAGUGGUAUGAUUCUCGCUUUGGGCCUGCGAGAGGCCCUGGGUUCAAUUCCCAGCUCGCCCC
rnacentral:tRNA from 1 species